rnacentral:lncRNA from 1 species
CUUAACCUCUACCUCAGUUUCUUCAUCUAUAAAAUGGGGAUAAUAAUCACACCUAUCUUCCAAGAUUGUCAUGAGGAUGAAGUGAAAAAAUAAUUUAAAGCACUUAGCAUAGUGCCUGGCACAUAGUAAGUGUUAUAUAAAUGUUAGCUAUUAUUACUGCUAAAGUCAUUUAACCUUUCUGAUACUGAGGCAACUCCUUAAGAUAAUAAGUGAUAGAUAAAUGUACUCUGCAUUGGUGGAAAGGGUUCCUUUAUCCACAAACGAAUAGGCUCUUGUUGUUUCUUGGCUGCAGUAAAAAUGAUAUGGAGCAAGGGGACCAAGUAGGAAAUUACUGUAAUAAGCCAGUGGUAAAGUGAUGGAGAACUGGACCAAGAUGACAGGAGCGAGAAUGAGAAGAGAAAAGCGAUAGAUAGUGAGAGUCAAUUUGAAGAAAGUCAUGGCAGGAUUUGAAAAUGGAAAGCUGAAGACUUCCGGUCAAGAUGGCGGCUUAGAGAAAGCUAAAGUUCAGAUCUCUGGAAACCCUUCCCUACCGAACUCAAACUAUAUGCUCCUAAGGCACCGAAAUUCAAAACGAACAACAGCAUAGACCCCGGGAAUCCUCCUCCUGGACCUGGACCUGGAUCAAAAGGUAUGGCCCCCCCAAAAGCCAGAACCCGAGAUCACUUGGACCUAAGGGGUAGGCAGAAGAAAGGUCCCAGGACCCAUCCCUCCAACCCAGAGCUCUGAGUCCAAGGCAGCAGAGGGAACCACAGAGCCUCAGGGCCGGCUAUUCUGAAGGCCACAUACUGAAAACAACCUGACCCAGUCGAGGGGGCACCCAGACAGCAGGGAAACAGAGAGAGACAGGAGGAGUCUGUAGCCCCCUGACUAGAUCCUUCCAUCUGAGUCUCACCAAAGGUCCCUGCCUCAGGGCAUACUCAGUCUGAGGUUAAUCCUAUCAUGAGCCCUCAGAGCUCCUGGAAGCCACGGGCCCUCCCCUUCAGAGAGCAGGGUCAUCUGAAACAACAGUAACCCUCAGAGCUGGCAAAAGGGCC